GACGAACGCUGGCGGCGUGCUUAACACAUGCAAGUCGAACGGAAAGGCCCUGCUUUUGUGGGGUGCUCGAGUGGCGAACGGGUGAGUAACACGUGAGUAACCUGCCCUUGACUUUGGGAUAACUUCAGGAAACUGGGGCUAAUACCGGAUAGGAGCUCCUGCUGCAUGGUGGGGGUUGGAAAGUUUCGGCGGUUGGGGAUGGACUCGCGGCUUAUCAGCUUGUUGGUGGGGUAGUGGCUUACCAAGGCUUUGACGGGUAGCCGGCCUGAGAGGGUGACCGGCCACAUUAGAACUGUAAUACGGCCCGGACUCCUACGGGAGGCAGCAGUGGGGAAUGUUGCACAAUGGGCGGAAGCCUGAUGCAGCAACGCCGCGUGCGGGAUAACGGCCGUCGGGUUGUAAGCCGCUUUCGCCUGUGACGAAGCGUGAGUGACGGUAAUGGGUAAAGGAGCACCAGCUAACUACGUG
rnacentral:rRNA from 1 species